GCAGGACCUGAGUUUGACAAUAAUGAGUUUAGAAGAUGGUUCAGAUCAAUAUUACUUGAAAAUGGAGGCCAAUUUUCUGAUGUCUUCAGAACAAAGCAUCCUGAUAAAAGGGAAGCAUAUACAUGCUGGUCGCAAAGUACAGGUGCUGAAGUAUUCAACUUCGGCAGUAGAAUUGACCAUAUUCUUUGUGCUGGUUCAUGCUUACAUGAAUCAGAUGACAUGCAAUGCCAU